CGUAAGAGGUCACAACCGUCCGUGGUGGCCGUCCUGACUCCUGCUGUGCAGUGUGCACACAGAGCCGUCAGCCUGAGCGGAGGCAGGAGAUUAAACAGCAGAGCAGCUGGUCUGCUGACAUCCAAUGCUCUGCUUCACUGCUGCUUGCCCCGCCCACCACACUCACAGGGCUGCGUGUAACACACAGCCCAGCUUACCUCUUCCUGCUCCUCCUCAUGUGCCUGCCCAGUGCUGCUGCUUCCUUCCACCACACUGUCCCGGCUCUUGCUCUUCACAGGAAGGAGCAGCAAUAGCCAGAUGUAGCUAUAACAGAAUCGGAGCCACACUUCUUGCUUGCGAGAACAUUUAUUGGUUGCUGUGUAAACUUCUGAAGUAUAAAGUGAAGGUCAUGAAAUUGGUUCAGCUUUGCAGGUCCCGGAAUUUACAUCAGACAUCUGCCCUUCAAAUGCCUGGACACGUCUGCGUUCGCCGCACAACUCCCAGAAAACGCUCCCUGCUGUUGACCUGGUGGACGCUGGUUGGAAUUCAGAGGACCCUUUAGCUUCAGGGAGCCACACGCAGCUGACCCGACGGUGGAUCUGCGCAACAGGAUCACACUCCAGUGGCACACUCCCAGUUAUUAAUAUCGGAGAGAGAUACUGCUUCCAUACACUCAGCCGCUCCGGUUCAUGGAAACCCCACAGCUAAUAUUUUUUUGUAUAUAUUUAUAUUGAGUAUAUACUCAUUUUUAUUGCUUAAUCUA